rnacentral:rRNA from 1 species
GUGGUAUAGAGAUUGAGGUAGGGUACUGGCAACAGUGCUCUGCUGAAAUAUUUUCACCCAUGUCUUUUGCGCACUUUUUGUUUCCUGGGCGAGUUUGCUCGCCACCAGGACCCCCAUAUGAACCUUUUUUGUUUUUGCACUCAGCGUCAGUACAAUAAUUUAAUCUAUUAAAACUUUCAACAACGGAUCUCUUGGUUCUGGCAUCGAUGAAGAACGCAGCGAAAUGCGAUACGUAGUGUGAAUUGCAGAAUUCAGUGAAUCAUCGAAUCUUUGAACGCACAUUGCGCCCUUUGGUAUUCCAAAGGGCAUGCCUGUUCGAGCGUCAUUUGUACCCUCAAGCUUUGCUUGGUGUUGGGCGUCUUAUUGUCUCUCCGUCUCGGGGAGACUCGCCUUAAAACAAUUGGCAGCCGGCCUACUGGUUUCGGAGCGCAGCACAAAUUUGCGCUUGCAAUCAGCCAAGGGCGGCAUCCAUGAAGCCUUUUUUCUCUCACAUUUUGACCUCGGAUCAGGUAGGGAUACCCGCUGAACUUAAGCAUAUCU